rnacentral:rRNA from 1 species
AGAGUUUGAUCAUGGCUCAGAACGAACGCUGGCGGCGUGCUUAACACAUGCAAGUCGAACGCGAACGAGUUCUUCGGAACUUUAGUAGAGUGGCGCACGGGUGAGUAACGCGUAAGUAAUCUACCCUCGCAUCUGGGAUAACCCACCGAAAGGUGUGCUAAUACCGGAUACGUCUAAGUUAAUAUCUUUUUUUUAGAGAAAGGUGGCCUCUGAUUCAAGCUACUGUGCGGGGAGGAGCUUGCGUACCAUUAGCUAGUUGGUAGGGUAACGGCCUACCAAGGCGACGAUGGUUAGCGGGUCUGAGAGGAUGAUCCGCCACACUGGAACUGAAACACGGACCAGACUCCUACGGGAGGCAGCAGUGAGGAAUAUUGCGCAAUGGGGGCAACCCUGACGCAGCGACGCCGCGUGGAUGAUGAAGGCCUUCGGGUUGUAAAAUCCUGUCAGAUGGGAAGAAGUGCUAUAUGGUUAAUAUCUGUAUAGUUUGACGGUACCAUCAAAGGAAGCACCGGCUAACUCCGUGCCAGCAGCCGCGGUAAUACGGAGGGUGCAAGCGUUGUUCGGAAUUACUGGGCGUAAAGCGCGCGUAGGCGGCUAUGUAAGUCAGAUGUGAAAGCCCGCGGCUCAACCGUGGAAGUGCAUUUGAAACUGUAUAGCUUGAGUACUGGAGGGGGUAGUGGAAUUCCCGGUGUAGAGGUGAAAUUCGUAGAUAUCGGGAGGAAUACCGGUGGCGAAGGCGACUACCUGGCCAGAUACUGACGCUGAGGUGCGAAAGCGUGGGGAGCAAACAGGAUUAGAUACCCUGGUAGUCCACGCCGUAAGCGAUGUCAACUAGGUGUUGGAGUGGUUAAUCGCUUCAUUGCCGGAGCUAACGCAUUAAGUUGACCGCCUGGGGAGUACGGUCGCAAGAUUAAAACUCAAAGGAAUUGACGGGG